CAGGGACUUCCUGAGGAAAACGAGCACGUU
rnacentral:piRNA from 1 species